rnacentral:misc_RNA from 1 species
UACGUAGGGGGCAAGCGUUGUCCGGAAUUAUUGGGCGUAAAGCCCACGUAGGCGGACUGGAAAGUUGGGGGUGAAAUCCCGGGGCUCACCCUCGGAACUGCCGUUGAUACUGGCGGGCUUGAGUUCGGUCGAGGCGGGCGGAACUGGUGGUGUAGCGGUGAAAUGCAUAGAUACCACCAAGAACCCCGAUUGCGAAGGCAGCUCGCUGGCCCGAAACUGACGCUGAGGCACGAAAGCGUGGGGAGCGAACAGG